CUUUGCAAUGAGACAGCUGAAGAGGUAUAAUUUAACAGCUUUCGGAUGCCCGUCACUGGAGUGAUUGAGGUGGACAGAAGGCAUGGACAUGAUCAAGGCCUUUAAAAGACACCAACAGGAUUCUGACAGGAAGGCAUAGAAAUGCAAGCCAACCCUGCCAGCUCUGGAAAUAAAUAAAUAACAACCCGUGUUCUACACUCCUCAAUGGGGGCAGAUGCCUGCAGGGCAAAAAGCCCUCAGAGGAGGAGAGACCCGCCUGCAACUUUUCCCCAGGCUUGGACAAAUGAUGCUUGGACACUAGAAGGAUUUCACACACUAGAGGCUGCAAUCACCUCCCGGGGGAGCUGCCCCCUGCUCUGGCUGGUCAAACGGAACCAAGUCCGUCUUCCUGAGAGGUUUGGUCCCCUUCAACCAGCUACAGCAGGGCUGGCAAUGCCCAGUCUUGGACACAGAAGAGAAGAGAAACCUGGGGCUGCAGUUAGUUGCUACAGCUUUCCUUAUGAAAACAAUUCUGAUAUUGUCAUCAUA